ACGGUCUUUAUCCCACCGUCAACCGCGGUUCGUUAAAGCCUCCGCUCUAUAUAAAGGAGAAAGCAUCCGAGAAAAUGCAUCCUCUUUGUCGGUCAUUGAUGCGAGGGUUCGGAAGGUGCUUCCGCCGGCUUCUCCCCUGAUCCCUAGCGGCUGCUAAAUCCUGUAUUUCUUCUAUGGCUGAUACACAGUCGGUUGCUACACUAAUUGAAUAUACUACUUCAAAGAUACAACAAUUGCACCAGGUGUUUUCUGAACUUGAGAGCCCAUAUCUUUGCACUUGAAAUGGAAAGAGCUUGAAGAACAUUUUCAUGGCCUUGAGAGGUCUCUAAAGAAAAAGGUUUGCUGAGUUGGAAGAUCAGGAGAAUGAAUAUGUUACACAGCUCAAAGAGACCCAAGAGAUGUUGGAGAAACAUGAGGCUGCUGUUAUAGUUAAGGAGCUUGUAUCCCUUGAUAAAUUGCAGGAGAAAAGAGAUGUUGCACUCUCUGCUUUAUUUGAUAAAUACAAAACCUGUUUUUCAGAAACCAGUGCUGUUGGUGAGGCUGUCAGCAAUGGGAUGGCUAUGCUCUUGUUUCAAAAGAGAACUCUUGUGUCACACCAGUUGUUUAUGGCUCAGGUGCAAGUCCUACAGGAAAUGGAAAUGAAGGCAGUGAACAACUGAACAUCCCUCAGAGCUGGUCAAUCUCUGUAAAGAAAUGGAUGCGGAAGGCCUUUUCAAGUUUGUUUCAGAUAAUAGGAAAAACUCUCGCACUUAACAGUGCAUCCAAUCCUUUCACUUUAGUUUUAGAUUCCCUAAAGCGCUUCUAAUACUGGAGAGAUUAUUGGGUCAAAAAAGGAUGGGUUUGGGCCAGCAAAGGACUUGUCUUAUGUUAAUGGAAUCACUCAAACAACUGCUCGUAUAUCAUUUAGGGUGCGUUUGGUUCAGAGUUAUCUUUGAUAACUUUGGUUAUCCAUCCAAUGCUAUCAACCAAAACCUUGUUUGAUUUUGAUAA